rnacentral:rRNA from 1 species
GGGUUGUGAGGUUAAGCGACUAAGCGUACACGGUGGAUGCCCUGGCAGUCAGAGGCGAUGAAGGACGUGCUAAUCUGCGAUAAGCGUCGGUAAGGUGAUAUGAACCGUUAUAACCGGCGAUUUCCGAAUGGGGAAACCCAGUGUGAUUCGUCACACUAUCAUUAACUGAAUCCAUAGGUUAAUGAGGCGAACCGGGGGAACUGAAACAUCUAAGUACCCCGAGGAAAAGAAAUCAACCGAGAUUCCCCCAGUAGCGGCGAGCGAACGGGGAGCAGCCCAGAGCCUGAAUCAGUGUGUGUGUUAGUGGAAGCGUCUGGAAAGGCGCGCGAUACAGGGUGACAGCCCCGUACACAAAAAUGCACAUGCUGUGAGCUCGAUGAGUAGGGCGGGACACGUGGUAUCCUGUCUGAAUAUGGGGGGACCAUCCUCCAAGGCUAAAUACUCCUGACUGACCGAUAGUGAACCAGUACCGUGAGGGAAA